UUUUACUUUAAAUUAAAAUUUUGAAAUUACUUAUAAAAUAUAAAUGUAAUAAAAGAAAAAGGUUUUUCUAGGAAGAUGAAAAUGUAGCUAAUUAGGAAAUCUUUUUACCGUUGAUGAGGAAUAUUAAGGGUCCAUUUCUCAUAAGAGCAUCCCAAACGUGUUUUUCCCACCAUUCUUUUCUUCACCCAGCUGACCCACAAUGAAUUCUGCGAUUCUCUUCUAUUCUUCUGUAGAUUUAGUUUCAUUGUUGUUACUUUCUUGUUUAUGUCGAGGAAAUGGGUUUAUUCUCAAGCAUUUGACAAAAAUCUAUAGCUUAUCGCAGCAGUCAUAGGAAGAAGAGAAGAAAACAGUAACUCUCUUCUAUGGGUGAAAGAAAAUUUGCAAGAGUCAUGGUCCUCUCUACCAUUCUCCCGAUCCCUCCUCUCCUUUCUCCGCCGAGAUGUCCACUACCACCGUCACAACCGUUCCUCGUCGGUCCAUUUUCCUCGGAGUCGACGUCGGUACAUGAAGCGCACACUCUGGUUUAUUGGAUGAGAACGGGAAACUCUUAGGGAUGUCUAGUAGUCGAAUUCAAAUUUGGAAAGAACGUGACUGUUGAGGUUAUGAGCUUAUACUAUUUUUUUAAUUAUUCAUAUAAAAUAAAUUAAAUUUAGCUUCAUUUGAUAAAAAAUUAUAGUUGUUUUUGUUUUUUAAAUUCUAGCAGCAAUAGUCAACAGAUAUAUGGCAUGAAAUAUGUGCAGCUAUGUAGUCAGCAUGCUCACUUGCAAAUGUUUCUGGUCAAGAAGUUACUGCCAUUGGUUUUGCUGCUACUUGUUCUCUUGGUUUGUCAUAUUUAUUUUACCUUGUUUGGAUAGUGGAAUUCUGUUUUAGUGAUAUUUUCAUGUUUGGUAACCUUAUAGUUGAUAGAAUUCAAUUCUUUCAAUUUAAUAAAAUAAAAACAAGUAUUCUGGAAGUAACGAAAUCAUGCCAAAAAUAACAUGAUUGUACAAGAAUUGAUCUCAUUUGUUCUACAUUAAAUUCCUGAAUUGUCUUUUUGGUAGAAAUUGUGGCUAUACUGCCUUUUGUAUAUUCAAUUUUUAUUUCAUUUUAAACAAGGUUGCUUUAUUUUUUUGAAAAAAAAAACUCUUUAGUGGUUGUUGAUGCUGAUGGAGCACCAGUAUCAGUUUCAUGGAGUGGGGAUUCAAGAAGAAAUAUUAUAGUUUGGAUGGAUCAUAGAGCUGUUAAACAAGGUGAGAAGAUUAAUUCUUCUAAUUUACUAGUAUUACAGUACUGUGGUGGCGCCCUUUCUCCUGAAAUGCAGCCUCCAAAGAGCAAUGGGAGAUGAUACUCGUAGUCUAUGUACCACAAUAUGCAAAUGGACAUAUCUUGGGCAUGCACAUAUGCAGCAAAUGAAUGAAAAAGAUUAUGGAGAUAUGGAAGCUUGUGGAUGGGACGAUGACUUUUGGGAAGAGAUUGGCUUGGGUGAUCUUAUAGAUGGUCAUCAUGCUAAGAUUGGUUCUUUUCUGGAGGAAGCGUUGCUCUUAUUUUCUUGCUACCGCAUGAAACUUGUGCAUCUUUAUGCUAAUUGUUUAUUCAAUGCCUAAGGCUGCCCUAUUGUACAACCACGAGAAAGUGAGUCUGUGCUAUUGGGUUGGUGCUGUUACCGUAAAAAAAAUAUGAUAGUCUCACUGAGGCCAUGAGGGCCCUGAAUGCAGCCGGUCAGGUAUGCAUGAGCUCUUGCUUCUGAAUUUUCAGUUCAAUUCAUAACUUUUAUGACAUAUAACUAGGUACAAAACAAUAAAUGAUUAGAGGAGAGGUUUUAAGUGAGUGCAAAACAUAAUGUAGCUUUUCUUUUAUGCAUUCUGUUUUUGCUGGAAUUCCUAUUAGUCAUUAUUUUCUCUUGGUUCAUCUGAUUACUCUCACCUUCCUCCACCUCUCUAAGAAAAGAAAAAAGAGAAAAACAGACAAAAAGAAUUUGAAAGAAGUACUACUUCAAUAACGUUGACCUGCAAAGCAAUUAUGCUAAGGAAUUUUAUAGAUAAAUAGUGAAUAUAUAAAUCUAAAGGCCCUUGCUUAAGAUUGGGGCUUGAAGUUGAUGGUAGAAUUCAGAAACACAUGGCAGACUUUACCUCAUUGCUCCUUCAAAAUUUUGGUGUUUCUGUGUAUCAUUAUAGAGAAGAAGUUGCAGAAGUUGCCUAGAUGAAUUUUCACUUGCAUUUUGUUUCUAAUGCCAUACUUUAGCACUACCAAGGUCUAGUCAUUUGAUUGAAGUU